UUUGAUGUUUGAUACGAACUUUAACUGAAGCUCCAGAUCUGUAUCUGCAGGACUUUAUGCGUUGCAUUGCUGCUAUGUGAUUGGCAGCAUUUGGAAGUGCUUGCUGCAAACGGAGGCGGGGCGCAACAAAUAUGUGUGGCUCUUUAUCACAGUCAAUCAUCUUGGAAAUCUCAGCGUACCACGCUCUUGUCAUCUGGAUGGCUUCGAACCCAGACAAGAUCAGAGGGAACCUCCAGAGGAGAUGGCUCUUUCUCGAGGAGCUGGGCAAGGCAUUGGUAAGACCUCAAAUCCAGAAGAGACGACAUAUCCCAACAACCUAAGGCUCUGCAGCAACUGUGAGGAGGAUUCAGGAGGAUGCAGAUGCCCCAUUUGCCCAAUCCACAGAACCACCAACUGUUGUACCUGAAGUUGCAGCUGGUAGCAGGAAGGAGGCACUGUGAUGUGCGUGGACCAUAGGUGUGGACCCAAAAAGGACAGGAAGAAGAGUAUACAUGCAUCAAGUGCAAGAAAUGCAUUGGAUUUAACUCCCCCCAUAACUAAGUGAUCACAUGCCCAGUCACCUCAGUUACAAUCACUGCUUUAAUUCCUCUCCACUCUGUAUGAUAUUUUUCCUAUAGUGGGAGCCCCACUCAUGGCGUUGCUUUUGUUAGUUGUCACUUGUUACUUAGGACACAUGUAACAAUAGUGAGUUUCAGAAUGCCCCCAAGCCUCAGACGGAGACACAUUUCUUGAUCAAUUUCAAUUCCAGACACUGACAAAAGAUGCAAAAAUCUAGACUGGGACUUAGGCUACUAUACCUGCCUUAUAACAGGGGAGGGCCACGGCCCCAAAACCUGACA